rnacentral:rRNA from 1 species
UGGGGAAUAUUGCACAAUGGGGGAAACCCUGAUGCAGCGACGCCGCGUGAGCGAUGAAGGCUUUCGAGUCGUAAAGCUCUGUCCUAUGGGAAGAUAAUGACGGUACCAUAGAAGAAAGCCCCGGCUAAUUACGUGCCAGCAGCCGCGGUAAUACGUAGGGGGCUAGCGUUAUCCGGAUUUACUGGGCGUAAAGGGUGCGUAGGUGGUCUUUCAAGUCGGUGGUUAAAGGCUACGGCUCAACCGUAGUUAGCCUCCGAAACUGGAAGACUUGAGUGCAGGAGAGGAAAGUGGAAUUCCCAGUGUAGCGGUGAAAUGCGUAGAUAUUGGGAGGAACACCAGUAGCGAAGGCGGCUUUCUGGACUGCAACUGACACUGAGGCACGAAAGCGUGGGUAGCAAACAGG